GGGUGAGUAACGCGUGGGUAACCUGCCCUUUUGUGGGGAACAACUUCGAGAAAUCGGAGCUAAUACCGCAUGAGCUUAUGGUUCCACAUGGAAUUAUAAGGAAAGAUGGCCUCUGAAGAUGCUAUCGCAAAAGGAUGGACCCGCGUCUGAUUAGCUAGUUGGUAAGGUAACGGCUUACCAAGGCGAUGAUCAGUAGCCGGCCUGAGAGGGUGAACGGCCACAUUGGGACUGAGACACGGCCCAAACUCC
rnacentral:rRNA from 1 species